GAUAAAACAGUGCUGUUGGAAAGGCAAUGUGAGCUCUGAGCUCAGCCUGUGGAAGGUCCUGAAAUGAGACUGGAUGUGCAACUUUUCAUUUUGUGGGGAGAAGGAAAAUGAAUUACAUAUGAGCAAGGCUGAUAUUGAGAUCAUCUCCAUGUUCUUGCCAGCAGUCAUUCAUCAUACUUGCAGUUUUGCUAUCUGAGCUGUGCAGAUAGAGGAACUUUACACCACCCAUUCUGGCUUUAAAGGCAGUAAGUCUCCAAGCAUCCUUCAAAAACUCCACGUGCACUUCUCCAGCCCUGGCAAACUACUCGAGGGUGAGUGGGACCAGAAUCUCAGCUGAGCACUCCUGCACUCUGACUGCUCCAGCACCCCAGGAGCAUCCAUCUGGCAGGUGGUGUCUGAGAGUAUGAUUGCAAAAAGACACAGUGUGAGGUGCUGUGGUGAGAGGGUGAGAUGAGAGCCAGCCUGGGGUGGAGAAUGGGAGUACUGCAGUAGGACUAGACAGUGUCUCCUUCCCUGAUGAAAAGGCUGAUGACUCCCUCUUUAAUUACAGUAAUGAAUUUAGCAAGUUGGUAGCAGAGGAGUAUCUCAGCUUCUUUGACUUCACUGGCUUGACCCUCGACAAAGCACUCAGGACAUUCUUGAAAGCAUUCCCACUGAUGGGAGAGACACAGGAGCGGGAGCGUGUGCUGAUUCACUUCUCCCGGCGAUACUGCCAGUGCAACCCAGAGGAGAGCACCUCUGAAGAUGGGGUUCAUACGCUCACCUGUGCCCUGAUGCUGCUAAACACAGACCUCCAUGGCCAUGUAAGUAGCACUUGGAGAUGUAUCCUUCCUUCUUUCCUUCUGAGUAUAGAGGUCUUUUCCUUUGUGCAGUAUGUACUGCUGGAAAACCGAGAUAGAUUGGACACAAGUACUUUGACCAGCUCCAUCGGGACUGUGGGUGCCAGGCCUAGCCCUAGGACAGACCUUCUCUUACAUUACUGCACGCACAAGCCAAAGGCACAUCUGAUAUCAGUUAUUCUCCAUAGGCACAGGCAGUACGGCUCUCUUCCCAGGACCUACUGCAUGCAUCAGCACUGCCCCAGAAGCUCUUGGGAGAUCUUUCAGCACUGAUCUCCGCGGUGUAGAAACAGCAGCUCCAACUGUGCUGCUUUUUCUUCUGAUGCAGAAACACGAUGCUCCCCUCAUCUGCAAAACUGCUGCAAGGGAGUCAUUAGUUUUGUACAGGACCAGAUCUGAUCUUUCAUUCCCAGAACGUGAAGUAGUUCCCAGAUGUUCCCCAAGACACUGCAGACAGCAACUGGAGAGCAUCACAUCAGACAAAGAGCAGGCGAGCAGAGCUUACUGCCAGGUGUCACACAGGUGUGACUGGAAAACUGCAGAGGCUGUGAGAUAUCUUCUCACAGCUGUGCAUAGAUUGGAUUUGUUCCUAAAAGGUCAGCUGGGUUGUUGCCAAUGUCUAGCGAAAACAGCAGAAUGGGAGGAAGAGUCACUGCAGAGGCGAGAUGGGCCUGGGCAUAGGUCUCACUAGUUGUGCUGGGAGCCCUGGACAGCCGUGACAUGCAGCUGGGAGCACGCAGGCUGUGCCCUGCUUGCUGCAGAAGGCUGCAGGUGCUGCUAUCCUUCCUGCUGUCCAGCCUUCUGGUGCAGACAGAGCGUGGCCACGAGCUUCAACAGGUUGUUCCCAGGGCUAGAGGAGCUGCUUGAGUCUCAGCUCACUGAAGCUCCUUCUUUCACCUCUGAGAACUUAGGCAUGCAGCCACGGAGUGGGGAAGGCUUGUUACUGCAGACUGCACAUGUGAAACCUACGGUAGUUUUAGUCCCUUUUUCUGCUCCACAGCCCCAUUGAUUUCCAAGCUGUAUUACCAGAGUCCUCUUCUGCCUCCAGCUGGUCACAGUUCAUUGUGCAUCUGCAGAGACUUGCCCUGAUUUUCUCUUCAUUAUGCUUUUAAUAAGGUGGCAGUAGGACAUAACAUCAAUUUAUUUGCAAACUGGUUUAUAAUCACCUUUAAAGGGAGCCUCAGACUGUACAGGUGAGAGCACCACAUGAAUGCUCCUCACCUGUGUAGAUGCAAAGGCACUACCAGUGCCUAAUGGUGAUGACUCCACUGGUGCACUGGUGCAGCAUUAGUUUUUCAUUGAUAAUAGGUUUGGUAAGAAGAAAUG